GCAUGUGGCAUAAUUGAUCAAGUAUGAUGUGUACGAAUGAAGUUGGGCACUGCUUUGGAAGUCCAUGUUGCAAGGAACAAAUAUGGUGAAAAAUUGAGUCUUGGAGCAGAAGAAAGGGUUUUGGAGCAUGAUUAAGGAAUGGAAGGAUCUAGAGCAUGAUUUGGAGCUGAUUCAGGCCAAAAAUAUGAAGAUCAUGUGCAAAAAUAUCAGGCCCGUGCCUGACAAAAUCCAAACCGAGCCUCCAAGUUAUUCAAGCAUGCCAAACUCCAGAGAGACUGGCACGGCCCGUGCCUGCAGGUGCACGACCGUACUCGAUGCCAGCUCCCCUUUUUGCUGUUUUGUUCAAAGACUGACAUGGCUCAUGCUAAGCUGAGCACAGCCGUGCCAAAGUUUCAGGCUGCUAUUUUGAUAUAUUUUCAGACCUAAAAGCCCAUGGGUUGCUUGCUAUGUAAUUUUUAUUCAUUUUCUUAGGGCUUAAGUGAAGUAGCAAUAAAUGUCACAAGAAAGGGGGGGUUUGAAUUGUGACCCUUUUUAAAUUAUUCCUGAAAGUUUAUAUUAAAUUUUAUACUCAAGAAAAUUUCUUGGUUAAGAUACGUUAGUCAAAUAAAUAAUAAUUUUAGGACCAUAAUGAUCUGGAGCAGAAUAAGAAAAUGAUAUAAAGCUGAAAUAUAAAGAUUCAGUUAAGGACCAGAAUGUUCUGGAG
rnacentral:lncRNA from 1 species